GCUUCGGUAGUGUAGUGGUAGAGCACGCGUUCCCGGCUGGCAUGAAACGCGGGUUCGAUUCCCGCCUGAGGCC